CCUACGGGUGGCAGCAGUGGGGAAUAUUGGGCAAUGGGCGCAAGCCUGACCCAGCAACGCCGCGUGAAGGAAGAAGGCUUUCGGGUUGUAAACUUCUUUUCUGGGGGACGAACAAAUGACGGUACCCCAGGAAUAAGCCACGGCUAACUACGUGCCAGCAGCCGCGGUAAUACGUAGGUGGCAAGCGUUAUCCGGAUUUAUUGGGGGUACAGGGCGUGUAGGCGGGAAUGCAAUUCAGAUUUGAAAACUACGGGCUCAACCCUGAGCUUGCAUUUGGAACUGUGUGUCUUGAGUGCUGGAGAGGCAAUCGGAAUUCCGUGUGUAGCGGUGAAA
rnacentral:rRNA from 1 species